UGACGAUAACAAAAUUCAUCAGAAUCUUUGAAAUAGUGGUUCAGUGAGCACGAGAAAUCAUUUUCAUGAAUGAAUUGAUCACCAGUCCUGAGCUUAACUCUACUGAAUGUCUUGAGGAUGUGCUGGAGUUGACUUUACAGAGUGGCUAGACUCUCCCAUUGUCAAUACAAGAUCCAGGCCAAACAUAAAUGCAACUCUUGAUGGAAAUAAAUGUUGUGAUGUUGCAUAAUGUUGUUUAAACAAUGCCACAACACAGCACAAUGUUAUUAAAGCUAUAGGUGGUCCAAUGAAAUUUAGAGUGUGCAACUCCUUUUUGGACAGGCUGUGUAAAGUUGACCCCACACUGUAAAAAAAAUCCGUAAAAAUACAGCACAAUAUACCGUAAUAAUUUGAAGGAAUUUUCCGUAUUUGGUUUUUACAGGUGUUUUCCCCGUAUUUUUUAAAUUACUCUUUGCAUUGUGGGAACAAGAAGCUCAGUCGAUUAUCGGCGCGAAAACAAUGCUAGAGCAGGCGCCAUUUUUCACGGAGAUAGUGUCGGUCAAAAUUUCAUUUUAAAGUCGGAUUUCGGGUUUGGGGAACUGUUCUUACACUUCCGUGGUAAAUUAGUUUUUGUUAAAUGUAACAAACUGUAACUUUAACUUAGUUGCUGUCUAGCUUGUUUGGCAAAUGAAUGUCGGAGCCGUCAUAUUCAACAUUUUCAGCACACCGUCGCAUCUUACUCGACGACGUGGAGGUAAGUUACUUGUUACAGUGUUCUCACUUUUAGUUUUAUAAUUUAAAGUUAAUUAACUUUUUAUUUGUUGUUGCGGUGUAUUUGUUACUGAGUGUCGUAAAGCAUCGGCAUUUACUGAGGUGAUGUUAAGCAGCUGUAAGAACGUUAAAUCUGAGGUACAACUGUGUUUAGAGCGCUUUAUGCCUUCAACAGGAGCUGGCAGAGCAAUUGUCAAGAAAAGAAGACACCAUUUACGAUUUUUUUUUUUUUUUAAGAGAUUAAGAUAAGGUGAAGAUCUGACAUCGCAGAAUUCUUCAAGGAUAACGCCUUUUCUGCCAAACGAGGUCUAAUUGCUGCUGCUGUACUGUACACCCCAAGCAUCCCCUGCAUUCUUAUCAAGGAUUGCUGUCAUUCAAGAAGUUAUCAUUUCCUCCCAUUGUGGCUGAGCUACACAUUCUCUUCAUUUCCAGAGGAGAUGGCACCUACGCUGGAAUCCAUACAAAUUCUUCCUGUGAAGAAAUCCUGAACGAGGGUCAAAGGUUGAGAUGAUGGGAACCUACGCUUCCAAGACUUUGAGAAUCCAUGUACAAUUUGAGCUUUUUUCAAAUCUCAACAUGGAACUUGGACUGAACAUGCAGAAAAAAAAGUAGUUUCCACAAACUGGCACAUGGCAAGAGAUACUAAAAGCACACAAGUUUAGUUUAGUAUAGUUGUAUAGUAUAGUUUCACAUUGAAAUGUGAGGCAUGAGUGCAUGAAUCUUUGUUUUUUUUAUUUUCAAAUGCUGUACAAGAAAGUAUUUUUGCAGUACCAUGUCAGUUGUAGAUGCAGAUAAUUUAGCAUGAAUUAGAGGUUAGUAAUCUAACUUAAAGGGUUAGUUCACCCAAAAUGUUAUAUGAAAAAUCUUGUUCCAAUCCUGUUAGACUUUUGUUCAUUUUUGGAAUACUAAUGAAGAUCCUUUUUAAUGAAAUCUGACAGCUAUACCUUAUUGGACCUUGAAAUGGUAGUUGUAUAUGGUAGUUGUCAAUGGAGGGACAGAAAGCACAGAGAUUUAAUUAAAAAUACUCUUUGUUUGUGUUCCAAAGAUAAAUGAAAAUCUUAUGGAUUUGGAACUGUAUGAGGGUGAGUAACUGAUGACAGAAUUCACAUUUUUGGGUGAACUGUCCUUUUAAAGAAUAUUGUGUUCUUCUAUAGGUUAAAUGUUGUAAACACUGGAACAUUUCACUUGACUAUUGACUGUAAGUCUAUAGCAAUUGUUAUUAAUGACAGCCCUGUCUUUGUAUUAAUUUUUUUCCCCAUGUAUUUGAAAAUACUUUGAAUCCUGACUGUUUCACAAUGAAGUUUAUCUUUGUGACCACUAUUUGGUGCAACACCAAUAUUGUACAAGUCAAGUACCUGCUCAUGUUUUCUUUUUUCUGCAUGUUGCUGUUUAAAACUAAAAAGUGUUCCACAAUACAAGCAUUUUCAG